rnacentral:rRNA from 1 species
GACGAACGCUGGCGGCGUGCUUAACACAUGCAAGUCGAGCGAUGAAGUUCCUUCGGGAAUGGAUUAGCGGCGGACGGGUGAGUAACACGUGGGUAACCUGCCUCAUAGAGGGGAAUAGCCUUUCGAAAGGAAGAUUAAUACCGCAUAAGAUUGUAGCUUCGCAUGAAGCAGCAAUUAAAGGAGUAAUCCGCUAUGAGAUGGACCCGCGUCGCAUUAGCUAGUUGGUGAGGUAACGGCUCACCAAGGCGACGAUGCGUCGCCGACCCGAGAGGGUGAUCGGCCACAUUGGGACUGAGACACGGCCCAGACUCCUACGGGAGGCAGCAGUGGGGAAUAUUGCACAAUGGGGGAAACCCUGAUGCAGCAACGCCGCGUGAGUGAUGACGGUCUUCGGAUUGUAAAACUCUGUCUUCAGGGACGAUAAUGACGGUACCUGAGGAGGAAGCCACGGCUAACUACGUGCCAGCCGCCGCCGUAAAAC